rnacentral:lncRNA from 1 species
AUGUUUAUACAACCAUGGUGGAACCAAUUCCCUACCAGUACUGGCAGGAAAACAGUAAGGAGAUGCUGGGAGUUGUGCCCCUGCAUGCACCUGGGAGUUGUACAGCUCAUUACCUUAACAAGGGAAAGCUGUGAAGUAGGAGAGCAGGUGUUUGGCUGGAGGAAGGUAUCAUUUUUUACCCUUACCAGAAAGGAGGUUGCUGCCUGCAUGCAGCUUGGGACCCAAGAACAGUGUAGACAUGGAGGGAAGUGCUUGAGGAGAGUGUGCUGUGACCAUAGGUGGUAAGCAAUGUCUGCAGGAACACAGGCACUCUGCAACUCCAUCUGUUUUUGCAAAUGAAUAAGUGAACAGAGUUGAACUUCAUUCCUUCACUCUGCAAAAAUGGAUCUUUAAUGACAGAGUGGAAAUUUUGCAUCCUGAUGUACUGCACUGAUAGCCUCUGCAUCUGAGUCUUCUGGGUAUUAAUGGAAUACAAAAUUCACCCUGUGUAGAAAAUCCACACAAGACCAACAGGAGUAGAAUGGUAUAUCAGACUUGUGUGUACACCAGCCUGGUCCGUGGCAGGACAGGCUUCUCAUCAGCACAAGACCCAUCCCUUAUUUGAUGGGAGUCCGUCAAGGGAUUGAUCAGAAUGUCUUUUCUCUAUACCAAUUCAGUACUUUCCUCA